GACGAACGCUGGCGGCGUGCUUAACACAUGCAAGUCGAACGGAGUUCCUUGGAUAGAGGCUUCGGCCAAUUGAAUUGUAACUUAGUGGCGGACUGGUGAGUAACGCGUGGGGAACCUGCCUUUCAGAGGGGGACAACAGUUGGAAACGACUGCUAAUACCGCAUGACACAUUCGGGCGGCAUCGCUUGAAUGUCAAAGAUUUUAUCGCUGAAAGAUGGCCUCGCGUCUGAUUAGCUAGUUGGUAGGGUAACGGCCUACCAAGGCGACGAUCAGUAGCCGGACUGAGAGGUUGACCGGCCACAUUGGGACUGAGAUACGGCCCAGACUCCUACGGGAGGCAGCAGUGGGGAAUAUUGGGCAAUGGACGCAAGUCUGACCCAGCAACGCCGCGUGAAGGAAGAAGGCUUUCGGGUUGUAAACUUCUUUUAAGUGGGAAGAGUAGAAGACGGUACCACUUGAAUAAGCCACGGCUAACUACGUGCCAGCAGCCGCAGUAACAC
rnacentral:rRNA from 1 species